rnacentral:lncRNA from 1 species
UGCACAAGUUAUACUCCAAAAUUAUUACUCUAAACCUAUUACAAGUUGUACUCCAUAACCCAAAGAUCUAUAGGGCAUACAAAUGAUCAUCAUUGUUUGGAAUCAUCGUCUCGUUAGGAUUAUAGUGGAACUCGCCGCUUGGAUUUAUGACUUGUUCCCGAAGAAAUCCUGCUAUUGCCUCUUGUAUUGCUUGGAGUUGCUCAUGUUGCAUGAGUUGUUGCUUCAACCAUUCAGUCUUCAAUUUGAAUUAAAAGAAGAUAUCAGUUAUAUCAAGGUUAUCAAUAGUAAUUUGAG